AAAACUAUACUUUCAGGGAUCACGUCUAUAGUUUCUUACUAGAGAAGUUUCUCUGAACGUGUAGAGUACCUGAACGCAUGAGUAAGAGGCGCAACGUCCUCUCCUGAGUGUGAAGCUGGCCUUUGGUGCUACUUUCGCAAUUGCUAUUGGCCCAUUGAUAAUCGUUCUUCUCUUCCUUUGGAAGAGAAAGAGGGAAAGGAUUAGCGCGGUCUCAGUGGU